rnacentral:rRNA from 1 species
UACGUAGGUGUCGAGCGUUAUCCGGAAUUACUGGGCGUAAAGGGCACGCAGGCGGCUGUUCAAGUUCGGCGUGAAAGCUCCCGGCUAAACUGGGAGAGGCCGUUGAAAACUGAGCAGCUUGAGGCAAUGAGAGGGAUGCGGAAUUCCCGGUGUAGUGGUGGAAUGCGUAGAUAUCGGGAAGAACACCAGUGGCGAAAGCGGCAUCCUGGCAUUGAACUGACGCUGAGGUGCGAAAGCGUGGGUAGCGAAC